rnacentral:rRNA from 1 species
UACGGAGGGUGCAAGCGUUAAUCGGAAUUACUGGGCGUAAAGCGUGCGCAGGCGGUUUGUUAAGUCCGGUGGGAAAGCCCCGAGCUCAACUUGGGAAUUGCAGUGGAUACUGGCAGGCUGGAGUACGGUAGAGGAAGGUGGAAUUCCCGGUGUAGCAGUGAAAUGCGUAGAUAUCGGGAGGAACACCUGUGGCGAAAGCGGCUCACUGGACCACAACUGACGCUGAGGCGCGAAAGCUAGGGGAGCAAACAGG